AACAUUAGGGUUUCCGCUGAGCUAUAUAUUCGACAUUUAAAGUCCCAUUCCAGCAGCUCUUUAACAAAAUUGUUCGGUUUCAAUUGCAAUUGCAAUAUUUCGUUUUCUAUUUUUUUUACCUAUGAUUUUUGUUGUUCCUUUGGUUUAUGUCCUCUCUUCAUCCAUGUGAAAUCAAUUUUUUGUCCGUGUAGACGAAGAUCCUUGAAUCAGAUUUCAAUCUUUAAUUGUUUCAAUUUUGCAUCUUAUCAAAAACUUCUUUAUCCUGUUUUUGAUUUUGAGAUUUGUUAUAUGUGUUUAUUCUGA